rnacentral:piRNA from 1 species
UGAUCGAUGAUGUCACUGGCUGGUCUUGUU